UAAAACCGGCUUCUGUGGAUUUGGUUGUCGAGAUCAUUGUUUGUGUGAUCAAUGUGAUCCAUUCAACUGUUCCUGCCUAAACGCUACUGAAACAUCUAUGGAAAAUCAUUUUACCGAAUCUAUGAUUGUCACAACAGUUGUUGUAAUCGGAUUUUGUCUCAUUACUACAACUAUGUUGGCGGGUUACCUUUUACGGUAUUU